GCGGGCGGCGUUCCCGGGGGCGCGGGCCCCUCGAUGGCCUUGCUAGGGACCGAAGGAAAAUGACCCCCCCUUUUCCUCGCAACAGCGGGCCAGGGCGAGGUGGAGGAGCGCUGCCCGGCUACUUAUCUAAAAGGGGGUCGGGAUUACCGGCAAAAUAAAUUGGACGUUUUCAUUUUCUCAAGCCAGGGCCAUCGCUCGCCCAUCCUGCAGCCUCUGAGGGCGGUACCCGGCUCCCCGUGCCCCGGCUGCGGAUUUCAGGUCCAGGGGACACCCCUCCCCGGCCCAUGCCCUUGCAGGGACAGCGGCACGUCCAUAGCAGGGGUCUUUGGCACCCUGGGAAUAACGUGCUGAUAUAAAUAUUGGAUUGAGAAAGGAAGAAAAACCAUUUGGGGUUAAUUAAGGAGUGUCUGGCCCUCUCGUUUCACACGUGAGCAAAGCUCGGGCUGCAGCCAUGGGGGAAGGCGCUUCCUCUCUCUGAUUCUCGGUUUCCUUGUGGCUAAGUGAUGUGGCUCUCGAAGUGCACGUUGCUCUGUGCAAGGGACAGGUGAGCGGGGAGCUGGGAAGCAAGACCCCUGCGGAGACUGCGCGUCUGCACGUGUGGGACGAGAAUAAAAUGCCCCUCCCCCAUCCUGAACGUUACAUCCGUGGAUGAAUCAGGGCAUGUCAUAGCCUGUUACUGGCAACCAGCCUGCCUGCGCCGGAUGGAUGGGCUCAUUCCCAGGGCAAUUAAAGACCCCUGCAUCAAAGGAGCCUCUGGGGACAUGAUCUGUAAUGCUCCUCUGCGUGGCCAUUAUAAACUCCUGUGUAUACAUAUGUAAAAA